rnacentral:rRNA from 1 species
GCUCGGUACCCUUCACCGGUACGCGUCGUGACCAUCGUCUCAGGAUCGACAUCUCUGGAGCCUGGAGACUAGAAAGGUCCUCUCAAGGCUGUGAAUUCCAGAAAUAAGGUUUAUGUAAGGAGCAGAUGGUUCUGUGAUGUCAACUCAAAUUUUGGAUCAAAGGAAUAGGAGCUUCCUCAGUAGGGGAAAUAAAAUUCAACAAGAUGUCAUUACAUAUCCGCACACGUUUAGCAGCAGCGGACGAAAGGGUUACAACCAUUAAGAUUCCUCCAUAUGAAAUUCGGACCAAGAUCUUUUUCAUGAUUUACAAUAUGUCCACCGAUAAUAUAGAAGCUAAAGGAUUCGAAUUUUAUGAAGUGUUGAUGGAACAAUAUUAUCCUUGGUUUGCACAGUACAUGGUCAUGCAAAGGGUAUGCAUCGACCCAAAUUUUCAUGACAUAUGUUUAAUGUUCCUUCAUAAAGUAAACUCGCCAGUAUUGGACAUGGAAAUACGGAAAGCUACAUACGCGAACUGCAAGAUAUUAUUACGAUCCGAUAUUAUCAAAUCUUGUUCAGGCGAACGCACCUUACUGAAAAAUAUAGGUAGUUGGUUUGGAAAAUCCGCCAUUCAAUGGAACCAGGACCCAAGCACUUAUGUAGAUGGCCUAAUACCUCUUAUAGUAAAGGCGUAUCAGAAAGGGUUGAUGCUUGCUGUAGUUCAAUUCAUUUCAAAGAUUCUUGAACCUUGCCAGCCAAUUAUUAGUGUUGGGACAAUGGAGAUUCUUAGUCUACUUGCUGAGAUCUAUACAAAGCCAGACCUCCAACUUUCUCUGGAAUAUAACAUAGAGGUCUUGUUUAGGGACUUUGGCGUGGAUGCAAAACAUACCAAAACAAAUUACCUUCUUAAAGAUGUAAAACAUGAAGUUGCAGGAAAUCAAGAUUUUGCAGUGAAAGAUGUUGUGCAUGUACCAACAUGCUUGUGUCCGGUUUUCCUUGAUCAGGAAGGGGAGGCAUCUAUGCCACUCACCCAGUACAUCACUAGUCUGAAACCAAUCAUGCACACUGUCAAGCUUGUUGGUGAGAUGAGAAACCAUUGGUUUUAUUGGGUGGUAGCGGAAAAGGCCAAGCGCCUCAUGGCAUCAAUUAUCAGAGCACUACACGAUCUCCAUGAAGUUCAUAGAUGUCCUGUACAGUUUUGUGCAUCAAACAUUGUCGUGACAUAUUACGGGAGAGUGAAAAUCAGAGUUGCAUGUUUCAAGAAAACCGUUCCUAUGUUGCGCAAAAACUAUGAGGACGCUAGCAAUAUUAUUAUGGACACACUGUUUGCUGACUACAAGCUAACUAUUAUCCCCAAGGAUGUAGAUCAUCUACUUUCAUUGAUGAAGUCUCCCAUUGCAAUAGGUAUGAAGUAUGUGAUAGGGACGCACGCUUCUCUUAUUCCUCUUGGGAACAGGUUUCAAUUCUAUAUGGAUAUGUGCGACCAUAUUACAUCUGUGGUGGACGCUGAACUUAGGUCAAAUAUUCAUGGAGCUCUAGACGAUCCCUAUGGUGAGAACUGGUCAGUGUUGCUGAAAUAUAACAUUUUGCUAGAGGAGUCAUUCUACAGAUCCGGGUCAUCAUACAAUACCAAAAAAGGGGCCAUUGAAUUUCCGAGGUUUUAUAGGAACACACUUGCACACAGAAUGGAUAAAUGCAAGAAACCGUUGCAGAAUGUUGGAGAUUUCAGAACAUUGAUAUACACUAAAGAGGAUAUUGAAAUGAUCUUAUUGGUUACCUAUCCGAUGAUCCUACCGAGAAUGCAAGAAGAACUCCAGAAUCAUAAGCGACUGAAGGAUUUGAAUCUUCAUAACCUGAACUUCAAGUAGCUCCAGCUUUUGUACUGUAAGUGUAACUGGUAACUGUGUGAUGUUGUAAUACACCAAUAAACUUAGAUUUUUCUAGGCUACAAAGGUUUGAAAGAAUAUCUUAAGUGAGUUGUUGUAUUUAUCAUGCUUCAUUCUGAAUUUUUGAGUAUAUUGUUUUGGG